AUGGGCAGUGCCUACCACUGGGAGGCCCGGCGCCGACAGAUGGCUUUGGACCGCAGGAGGUGGCUGAUGGCGCAGCAGCAGCAGCAGCAGGAAGAGCAGGAACAGAAGAAACUCCAAGAGAAGGAACGUUGUCAACCUGAGAAAAAGCCCCAGCCACACCAGGAGUCCAAGAAGCCGCAGCCACCACCAGCACAAUCACAACCCGUGGCUCCGUCGCAGUCCAAGUCACCCCCGCAGCCGCCAGCACAGCCACCCGAGCAGCUGCCGCCGCCGCAGCCGCCGCCACAGCCAGACGCCCAAGACCCUGUCACUCAGUGUGCCCUCAAGCAGCAGCUCCAAAAGGAUGCCCAAAGACCAGGCCAGCUUGCUUCCACGGGGGCCCAUCCAGGUCUUGCAAACCCAUGCCAAUGCAGACCUCCCAAAUACAAUGAGUAUUCGCGACUCACGUCAACCAAUUACACCCAGCAGUGGUGA
rnacentral:lncRNA from 1 species